UAAUUCUUGCUGAUAGAGAAGAUGAUUCCUGUGUGGAGUCGCCAAGAAACUGAGACCGUGGAAUGGACCGUUGAGAUGCUCGCGAAUGGGCUGUCCCACUUCUCCCUUCCCUGCAUCCAGGAAAAGCACGCAUGACUUUCCAGAAAACCCUCAUGUCCCAAGUCAUACCUUGAGGGACUUGGGGAGCCUAAAGAGUUGUCCUGGGGUCCAGGUUCUUGAAAAGCAAGGUUCCUGUCAGCUGCAAUUGCCUCCCCCUCAACCCCCUCUGUCUCCAGACCCGAGUGUCAGAGGCUAGAUGAUGGUGUUCAGCCCAGAGGAGCCUACUACACGAAGAACUUCAUUUUGGAUAAAAUGCCCGUAUCCUGGCUGCUUCAUCCUGCAGGCGGCAGGAUUUGGUUCCUUGUGGUUCCAGAUGGUGCCGGAUUUCCCCAUGUUGAGAAGAUAGCUCUCAGUUUGAUGUGGCAGUAUUUGCUGUGGUUAUGUCUUUCAACACACUUCCUGCUUUUCUUACAAAACAGAGACUGCUCAUCCCUCUCUUGGAGGCCACAGCCCAAAUGCUUAUAGGUUUAUUAGAGGGCCAACUUGAGCAGGCCUUGGGCACAUGUUCGGCCCCUCAGUGUGUGGCCUUUUUCUCUGCGAACAUCAGGGUUAAUCUAUUGUGGACUUUACUUUCUGUUGGAGUGAACGAUUGCAAUUCUGUGAGGGGAACAUGAGGUUUGCAGCAACUCACAGCUUCAGCUUUCAAGUGGAAAUCUUGUUUGGCUCCCCCCAGCAACAAGAGAAGAUAGAAUCCAGCCAUUUUUGUAGUCAAGAUUGCCUGGGUCACGUGAUCUCAAUGGCAAUGAUCAUAGUUGCUAGAAAUUCAGAGAUUCCUAAGCUACUGGAGCUGAAAAGGGCCGGAGAACUUCUAAAGGCAACUCCUCUAUGUUUCAGAGGUGGAAGUAGAAGUCCAGAGAGGUUAAAGGACUGGCCCAAGGUCACACAACUAGCCUGAUCUUCAUGGUCAUUGUGGAAUCAUUCCACAAAUAUUUUGGAUGCAUUUCUUUGCUUAGUCAUCCCCAUUUCCUACAACUUCUAACCACCAUAUGAUAAAAUAGUGUAUUAACCAUUUAUUUUUUUAGUGAAUUUUUGCCUUAUGGAAAUAACAAAAACCACGUUACAGAAUAAUUGGAAAAUAGAGGGGAAAAAAAUCACCCACACAAUAUUUGACCUGAUGUCUAUUUAACUAUUACUGUAAAAUCCUUUGGUAUUUUUCUUAUUUUGUUUUUUAAUUAUUAAAAUAUAGUUGCCUGGAGAUAAUAAUUUAAACAGUCUAGAAAGCCGUAAAAAGGAAGUCUUCUUCUCCACUCUUUUCCUAGUUUUCCUCCUAACAGGCAUCCUCUUUUGAUUGUUUCUCUCUCUUCUGGCAG
rnacentral:lncRNA from 1 species